rnacentral:rRNA from 1 species
GGAAUAUUGGACAAUGGGCGCAAGCCUGAUCCAGCCAUGCCGCGUGCAGGAUGACGGCCCUAUGGGUUGUAAACUGCUUUUAUUAGGGAAGAAACCCCCGGACGUGUCCGGGGCUGACGGUACCUAAAGCAUAAGGAUCGGCUACAUCCGUGCCAGCAGCCGCGGUAAUACGGAGGAUCCAAGCGUUGUCCGGAUUUAUUGGGUUUAAAGGGUGCGUAGGCGGAUCAGUAAGUCAGAGGUGAAAGCCGGUAGCUCAACUAUCGAACUGCCUUUGAAACUGCUGGUCUUGAGUUUUGUUGAGGUAGGCGGAAUGUAUCAUGUAGCGGUGAAAUGCAUAGAUAUGAUACAGAACACCGAUUGCGAAGGCAGCUUACUAAGCAAAAACUGACGCUGAGGCACGAAAGCGUGGGUAUCAA